rnacentral:lncRNA from 1 species
CAGAUGUAAAGAUAACCAAAUUUCAUCUGAUGACAUUUGCUUGGAAUUUAAUCAGUAUUGUUCAGCUGAGGGCUCAAGAUGUGUCUCUUAAAGCCCCAAAUUCCCACUCAACUUCUCAUAGCCAUUAUGACUGAUUUAGCUGAAUAACCUUGGCUACCAUGUGCUCAGGCUUGGGCUCACCUGUUAAAUGACUAGAGACUGCUUGGAGCAGAGGCAAGUCUGCCAGCCAAGGCUGUCUUAGACCAGACAACCCCCAGCCAACCUAUCAGCUGACUGCAGGUGCGUGAGUGAACACAGUCAAGACAUGAAGAACUGCCCAUCUGAGCCCUGCCUAAAUCAUUAACACCAACUCAUUACCUAAGCACUCAGGACACAGGUCCAGGAUCUAGCUCUGCUAUUUGGUUUGGAUAUUGGAAUUGCACUAUCACAUAGAAGUUAUGGAGCAAUUUCUUGCUGAAGACCACACUCACUCAAAGUCUGUUAGAUCGACAGUUGCAUUGCACUCAGAGUUCAGAAGGGUGAAUGUUUGAUUUUGGAAGAGAAUACUACUUGCUUCCCUUAUCUUGUACUUGAUUAAUUUGGCCUGGGAAAGAAUUUCUUCAUGGUCUGGUACGGUGUUUGAAUGUGACUUUUAAACAUGCCCAAUAAUAUGAUAUUGACUUCUUUCUGUGAUGAAUGGAGAAAAUAAAGUGUU